ACAUUUUGGCAAUAAGGAAUUCACUCGAAAGGUAAGUUUCCACGAAACUCCCUUUAUUCUUUUACUAAAGUAAGAAAAUUCAAUAAAAAAAGAAGUCAGCAGUUGUUCUCGAAUUUUGUCCCCGGCCAUCAGCAUUAGGGUUUUAAACCCUAAACUGAAUUUUUCUUUUAGUCAGCAUUAGGGUUUUAAACCCUAAACUGAACUUUUUUCAUUUCAGCCAGCAUUAGGGUUUUAAACCCUAAACUGAGCUUUUCCAUUCAGCCAGCAUUAGGGUUUUAAACCCUAAACUGAGCUUUUUCAUGCAAUCAGUAUUAGGGUUUUAAACCCUAAAGUGAAUUUUCCUCUUAGUCAGCAUUAGGGUUUUAAACCCUAAACUGAAUUUUCCUUUUAGUCAGCAUUAGGGUUUUAAACCCUAAACUGAACUUUUUCAAUUCAGCCAGCAUUAGGGUUUUAAACCCUAAACUGAGCUUUUCCAUGCAAUCAGCAUUAGGGUUUUAAACCCUAAACUGAAUUUUUCCUUUAGUCAGCAUUAGGGUUUUAAAACCCUAAACUGAACUUUUUUCCUUUCAGCAAGCAUUAGGGUUUUAAACCCUAAACUGAACUUUUUUCCAUUCAGCCAGCAUUAGGGUUUUAAACCCUAAACUGAGCUUUUCCAUGCAAUCAGCAUUAGGGUUUUAAACCCUAAACUGAAUUUUUCUUUUAGUCAGCAUUAGGGUUUUAAACCCUAAACUGAAUUUU
rnacentral:lncRNA from 1 species